rnacentral:pre_miRNA from 1 species
UGGACAGAUUAUUGUAUUCGACUGUAUUCACGGCGUAAAACAGGGGGUUACACUGUUUUUAAACGGAAAGUGAAUCAAUUAACAUAAUAGACUUCU